UGUGUUUUUGGUUUGCAUUCUAUGUGGGAUUAUGUUUACAGGGGGCAGGGUUAUGGGGAUAUCAAAGCAGAAGAGGGUGCUUGUUUACAUAUCUGCAAAAGAUGGGAGCACUGAGUCUUUGGAAUCAGGAGACUUUGGCAAGUGUAGAGUAGGUUUCUUUGUUGGAAGCAGGUUGGUAGGGAGACAAGGAGCCAGUUAUUCUGUAUGGCAUGCACAGGAAGUGGAAUGGAGUAGCACGGGUGUGGUGAAAGAUGCAUAAGGCUGUCUCUUUGGUAGGUACCCAACUACCAGAGGUUUUGACUCAAUUCAAGGGCAGACAGAAGGAGCCGAGAAGAUGGCUUUAGGAUACAUAAGCUUCGCAAACCCACUGAUUUGUUACUCUCUGAGAGUGGAAAGGGGAGAGAUUUUAGAACAGCAGUUCUCCCAGGAAGCUCAUCUUGCCUUUGAUGGUUCUUCAUUGUGAAAGAAUUGCUAGCAACCUCCUUAACUUCGGGGCUUCCACAUGAGGACUAAUGAUAGGCCUGGUCUCCUAGGCAUUGCAGAGAAAGAGCUGGUCUGGGCUGGUGUCUCUCCCAGCUGCAACCUUGUAACAUGUGCACCUCUGAGACUGAGGACAGAGACUAUGAGUGCUGUGGAAAAGGACAGAGAAAAUGGCUUUAAUAUGUCGAGGAGGGCUGGGGAGUGAACUGUUUGUAAUGAGAAACUGUGAAAGAAGGGAAAGUCAGAUUUACUUGAAGACCCUGCCAGACUUCAGAGCCUGCCUUCAAUGUCUGUCAGGACAAAGGACACUGCGCCCCCUGGUGUCAGACUGGCAGCCAGUGCCCACUAGCUGCAUGGAGACCUGUGGGCAGCGGGCAGCGAGACCAGGGGACCAGCUGGAGACGUCUAUGGAUCAGAUGCCUUUUCUUCUGUUUGCUAAGGGAGUUGAAACUGAAAUAGCCCUUGCUUUCUCAACUCUGGAAUCUAAAUAGAGAUUCCCAUAUAGAGAGAGCACACACACAGACACAGACACACAGACACACACACAGACACACACACACACACACACACACACAGACAGUUUUUGCAUGCAAUUCAGGCUGGCAGAACAAUAUCUAUUUAAAAGUAGCCCAGUGGGGUGAGAAGUACACAAGCCUAAAAGAAAAGACCUGCAUUUUGAGUGGAAUGCUGGUUUAGGGCAAGUCAUUCAACAUUUUAGAAUCUCUCUCCUUGUCUUAAAGCCAAAGAGAUUAGAGUAAGAUGCUUUGAUGGUAUUUUCUAAACUUUAAUAUUGGUACUUAUUCAAUAAUCAUGCACACUCUUUUUUUCAGAACCUUGCAAAUGUGACUUUAAAAAAUUCAUAUGCAGGUGCAAAUGUUAUAUAUUUCAGCAUGGUGAGUUUCCUGAUUCUGAGCAAAGAUUUUAAAACUGAAAAGUGUGCCUCUUUUCAGCACAGAAGCUCCCCUCUGCCUCCCCACCUUUGGUGGAGGGAGCUUUCUGCAGGAAAGCUGCAGAGUGAGUAGGACUUCAGUGUCUGCUGUUUCUUUUAAAAAUAAAGCACUGAAGUGUUGUGCUGGAAAUUCUGCUACGAAGUGUCAUGUAUGGUAGGUGUGAAUAUAUGCUUCAAUAGUUCCAGGCACAAGACCAAAAUCUUCCCCCAAAUUAGCAGAGUUUUAGCUAUGAUUUGGCUAACAUUUUUCUACGAAUAGAUACGAAGCCCAUUUGGGAGUGUAGUCUCUCCAAGGGGUUACCUCACUGGGUUUCCAUUGAAAUUUAGGGCCAUCCCUUACACAGCCUGGUGACUAAAGUGAAGCAUUGUGCUGGUGCCAAGAGUUUUCCUCUCCUGAAACCUUCGUAUCUCAUCUCUGCGGUGAGCAGUCAGUUAUACCUCAAGGUGUUUUUUCAUUGAGCGUCUGUAUUGCACUUGAAGUGCUAUCUAUAUGUAAUAGGCACAGUUUUUUAAAAUAAGGAAAUAGAUUAGUAUGUAAUAAAGCAUCACAUGAGCAGCAACCUUUCCUCACAGGUGUGGAUAGAGUACACAACUAUCAUUCCAUAGUAGUGUGACCAUCCCAACAUGCUGCCAUGAGAGGUGAGCCAGAAGGGGGAAGAGCAGAAAAAAUGAGAUAGUCCAUGGCAGCUAAUGCCUGCCUCAGCAAGGGGAGAGACUGUGUCUUGGCAGCUCUUGAGGGGAGGGACGAGUGCAAUGACUUGGAGCUGCAGUGACUUAAAUCUGUGUUACGGACUGAACUGGGUCCCUCCAGAGUUCAUACGUUGGAGUUCUAGCAACUGGUGCCUCAGAAUAUGACUUUAUUUCAAGACAGGUUCUUUAAAGGGAUAACUAGGUUAUAAGGAGAUAGGCCCUAGUCCAGUGCAGAUGUGGGAGUCUUUAUAAGAAAAGUUUAGGACACAAACAGGUCCAGAGCGAAGACCACAUGAAGAUACAGGGAAAGGUCAGCCAACAGCAAAGGCCUUAGAAGAAACAAAGCUUUCUGAUACUUUGAUCUCCGGUUGGAGCCUGAAGAAUUGUGAGAAAAUGAAUUUCUUUUGUUUAAGCCAACCAGUCUGUGGCAUUUUGUUAUGAAAGAUCUAAUCAAUGACUACAAGUUACUAUACAGAACCAACCAAUUAUGCAGGACCACUUGGAAAUACAGACCUUAGAUCCCCAGCUUUUCUAGUCUAAGGAUUUUUUUUUCUUUUUAAACAUUGGAAACAGGGCUAGCUAACUUCCUAAGUAUAUCACCUGUGCAGUAAAACAGGAUCUCAUACUUAGAAGUGGCUCAUGUUUUCUCUGUCUCUGUCUCUGUCUCUGUCUCUGUCUCUCUGUCUCUGUCUCUGUCUCUCUCUCUCUCUGUGUGUGUGUGUGUGUGUGUGUGUGUGUGUGUGUGUACUGGAGGGUGAAUCCAGCAGUCCCUAAGCAACUAACAUUCUCAGACCUUUUUUUUUUUAUCAUAUUUUUGAGACGGGGCUUGCAGAGAUGAUCAGUCUGGCUUGAAACUUGUGAUGCUUUUGCCUCAAAUUUCCACAUAGCCGGGAGUUAUGGACGUGUUCUGCCACACCUAGCUCUCUGUUUGUUUUCAUACUCUACUAUCAUUCUGACAUUCUUACAUUUUCAAAAGGAGACCUGCUUUUUCAUGUUGCACUCAUCUCUAGUAACUAAAAUCAGUCCUGGCUGACAAAUAAAUAUUGUAUGUUAUAGUUUAUAUCUAGAUAUCUCCCCAGAGUUUCAUGCACUGAGAGGCAGGGCUUUUGAAAGGUGAUUGGAUAUGGGGUGCUAACGCUGCUGGCUGUCAGGAGGUUAUUCUGGUCAGAAGAGGUGGUCACCAAGAGCAUAUCCUGGAAGGGUGUCUAUCCCUCCCUCUGCCCUUUCUUCUCUCUCUGCUUUCUUUCUUUUUUUUUUCUUUUUCCUUUUUAUUGGUACCGGGGAUCGAACUCACGACUGCCUGCUUGCAAGGCAGGCGCUUAUGCCGCUGAGCUAAAUCCCCAGCCCCUCUCUCUCUGCUUUCUGUCCACUCAUUAUGGUAAGUCUCAUCCAGUCCCUUCCACAUGCCAACAACCAAAAAGCAAGGAGCCAACUAAACCGCUUUCCCUUUAAUUUGUUGGUGUUGGUUAUUGAGCUCCAGCAAUUAGAAAGUGACUAAGGCGACAUGCAUGUUGAGUUUAUGGGCGUCCAAACAAAAUGUGCCUAGAGGUAGAAGUAGCAAGGAACACUGCAUGGAAUUCUCUAUUGGUAACUGGUUCAAGACUUCUUAUUCCUUGCAAAUCACUGGGAAAGAAAUCGUGAUAUCUAGAAGGUUUCCAGGGGUGAAAAAGCCACAGAUAUUCCCUAGAUACCUGAGAAAAGCCCAAAUGAUUCCCUAGUCACCCACUAAGAUUCCACAUGGCCUCAUGUGAUGCUGACCAAGACUUUUACUUUAAAUUGAGCACUGAGGAUGUCACAGUAUGAAUAUAGUGAGGAAAGGCCCAACGCAGGAACUAAAUGGUUGGGGCCAGGUAUAGACUUGCCCUGAAUGUGGUAGCUUCUGGAAUCUCACUCAGGCUCAUCCAUCCAGGCCAGGAACUGAGCUUUUGGACACCAGAGCUGAGGGUGCUAACUAGGAAAAUGAGCAAGAUGUUCCGGGGCGGUGCUUCCUCAUGGAACAACAAGAACAGCAAAACACAGCAGCAGACAGAUUGGCCUCCAGUUUCCCUUUAGAGUUUGCCUGCAGGACACAUGGAAGGACUUUCCCAAGUCAUGCUCCAGAGAAAAGAAAAUUCUCCACAGUUCCAUAAUCAGAGAAGCUAAUCUUUCCCCUUCUUUUCUACAAGUUUUCCAAAUCUUAUAACUCUUAUUUCCAGAUUAGAAAAUAAGAUUCCCUGUUCAUUAUCCCUCGUCCUUUGCAUGUGGAAAGCCCCCAAGGGAGCACUGUAGUGCACUGUGAGCCCUUUGUGGCAAAGCCCAGGCAUAGACAACUCCAGAGAAAAUUCACUGCUCUGCAGUCUGCAAGCAAAUCAGGUCAGCUCUCACUUCCCCGUGAUGGACAUGGUUCUCCUCCCUACAAGAAACAGUAGGGCCGGGGCUGGUGUCACAACAGUUAAGAAGUUUGAAAUGCAAUGUGUGGCCUUCUGAGUUCAGUUCUGAUAGUUCCCUUAAUCAUAUAGAAAAUAGAAAAAUUAUCUAAAAAAUUUAGCUCAAAAGCCACUGAUUCAAGAAAAACAGAAAUUUAUGUCCACAUAAAAGCUUGUUUUCAUAACAGCCAAAAAAGGGAAAAGAAUUUCAAUGCUUGUCAGCUGAUGAAUGUGGCAUAUUAAUAUACUAGAAUAUUAUUCAGCAAGCAAAAGAAAUGAAAUCUUGGGGCUGGGGAUUUAGCUCAGAGGCAUAAGUGCCUGCCUUGCAAGUGUGUAGUUAUGAGUUCGAUCCCCAGUACUGAUAAAAAAAGAAAAAGACAAAAGAAAAGAAAAAGAAAUGAAAUCUUGAUGCAUGUGACAAUAUGGAUGAACCUUAAAAAGCAUCACACUAAGCCAAAAAAACUUGGGGAAAGGACGGGGAGUGUUGGAGGGUGACAGAAAAGCAGAGCAGUUUCUUUUUGGACUGAUGAAAGUGUUCUAAAAUUGAGAUGUUGCCUGUGUAACUUGGUGAGUACAUUAAAAACAAGUGAAUUUUGUACCUUAAAUGGAUGAAUUGCAUUUUUUGUGAAUUAUAUCUCAACAGACCUGUUAGUAUUCUUUAAAUUUCUCUUUUCUUGAGCCUAUUAUCUUGGGAUGAAUGUGACCAGGCUUGGAAAACAAAUUUUUAUAAGAUAACUAAAAUGAGAAUGUGGGGGCUGGGGAUUUAGCUCAGUGGCAUAAGCGUCUGCCUUGCAAGCAGGCAGUUGUGAGUUUGAUCCCCGGUACCAAUAAAAAUGAAAAAGACAAAAAAAAAAAAUGAGAAUGCGAAAAAAUAAUGAUUUUCCUUAGGUAGAAAGACUGAUCUGCAGGGUCAUGCAUACACACAAUAUAGAUACUGUGUUUUGAAUUAUGCUGAUUUUCCCCCUCAGUCUGUAAGCAUUAAUAUAUGUAUAAUCAAUGAUACUGAGGUUGGUUUUUUUUUCCAAAUUUUUCUUUUUAUUUUAGGUGAGUGAUCCAACUUUCUGUUAAGGAAACACCAACCAUAUUUUCAGUUCAGAUGUGUGGAUACUACUGACCGUAAAUCCUAGGCUCUAUGAUGCAGGCCUUAUUAACUGGCAUAUUUUAUCCAGUUCCUACCAGCACACCUAAUUCAUCCAUUGCUUAACUUUCAGAAAUUUUGUGAACCAGUUGUUAAGCCCAAUCAUUAAAUUUAAAGCAUAUAAACAUAAUUAAGUGAAUCAUAUUAAAACUGAAGGAAACAUUCAAAUCUUAUUACUUAGUAGUUAUUUGGUUACAUUUUACUACUGUCUGGUGUCUUAAGGUUAUUUGUACCUAUUGGAUCUGUACAGUGGAAAUACCGUAUAGUGAUGUGCCACCGUGUAUCUCUUCACAAACCCAUGUUUAAUGACUUGUUUUUGGCAGCUUGAAAUUGGCCAUGGUUGUGGUACUUACAUCAUAUUAACUGGCUAAUGUUAUUUAGGUUUCGCUUUUCCUGACAAAGAGAUUGUUAAAUAUUUACCAGCUGCAGUGGAUUGAAUAGUGGCCCCUCAAAACAUAGCCCAGUCUCUGGAAACUUGUUUUAUUUAUUUAUUUAUUUAUUUUUGUUUUUGUUUGUUUGUUUUUGAAUCUUUGAAUCUUUGAAAUUUGUGAAUGUAACCAUAUUUGGAAUAAAAGGUGCUGGCAGCCAUAAUCAAAUUAAGGAUCUCGAGAUGAAAUCAUCCUGAUUUCUCCCAGGAAGCCCUAAAUACAGUCAUGUGUGCCCUUACAGAAAAGAGGCAGAGGCUGAUGUGACACAGCACACAGAGGAAACGAGGAAGUGAUGUGACCACAGAGGCAGAGGUUCCAGCGAUGUGGCCACAAACCAAGGAAUUCUUGCAGCCACCAAAAGCUGGAAGAGACAGAAACAGUCUUCUCCAGAGCUGCUGGAGGUAGCAUGGCCCUGCUGAUACCUUGAAUCAGUGUCUAGAAAUGUAAAAGAAUAGAUUGCUGUUGUUUAAACUACCUGGUUUUUGGUGAUUUCUUAUGGUAACCACAGAAAGUCAUAGCCCUGCUGUGCGUGCAGGGAUGGGUAUGAGACCCAAGCCUACACAAUGGGAAGUCAGCUUCUAUUGUAGAACAGACUCUCAGAUAUUAGGCUUCAUUCCUUGCCACUUUAUAUACACAAUUAAAGCAGCACAGAAAGAGCUGAAGUAUGAGGCUAAGAGGAGACAUUCCUGUCAAUGUUGUUUGAGAAACUGAAUCUUUCCCACCACUGGAGUUUCUUACUUAUAUAUAGCAAUUAAUUUCAUUUUAAACCACAUUGCUAACUGGAUUAUGCACAUUAAUUUUUGAAAUUGCUCAUUUACAAAAUUAUAAGUACAUAACUUACUAUAAUUUAUCAGCUACUAUUUAAACUAGGCAUAACUGUUAAAGACAUCGGUAAAGGGGCUAGGGGUUUAGCUCAGCGGCAUAAGCGCCUGCCUUGAAAGCAGGCAGUCGUGAGUUCGAUCCCCGGUACCGAUAAAAAGGAAAAAGACCAAAAAAAAAAAAAAAAAAAAAAAAAAAAAAAAAAAAAAAAAAGACAAUCGGUAAAAUAUAUGCCAGUUACUGAAAAUCUGAUCCCUACCUCAAUUCAGUAUGCUUACUUGUUCCACAAACAAUGAACCUCACUCCUCCUAAAGUAUUUUUUCAGGUAGAUAUCUGUCCAUUUCAGAGUUUACAACUUAUAUUCUAGUGAGGAGUUUAGCAUGCUUUACAUUAUCGAGGUCACUAGUGGCCUUCACUUUCGUUAUAUAGUUCAUAAUUUUCUGGAACAUUUUAUUUUGUUUUUUUGGAAUCAGGAAUCGAACUCAGGAUUUCACACUUGCUAGACAGGUGUCAUGCCACAGAACUGUACCCUGACACUGAACCAUUUUAAAUUCAUGUAAUGUCAUUAUUUUUCCUAAAAAGAAUGUGUUUGAUGCACAAUUUAAAUACUUAAAAUUCUUUAAGAGAUAACAUUUAAGUAUAUUCACAAAUCACACAAAAAAUCUUUGGCAAAUUAGGUUGGAAAAAUAUUUUGUAGUGUUGUGCAAUGAUACUGUAAUUUUUAUAAUGUUGUACCUUUGGGGAAUUAUUUGUAGAUGAACAUUUCUGUGAAAAGAGCAUGUCACAGAAAUUCUGAAAAGAGCAUGUCACAUUAUUUUGAACUGUUUUAAAAAUGAAAAUAAAAUUCUUUUACCUUUG